rnacentral:rRNA from 1 species
GAUGAACGCUGGCGGCGUGCCUAAUACAUGCAAGUCGAGCGAACAGACGAGGAGCUUGCUCCUCUGACGUUAGCGGCGGACGGGUGAGUAACACGUGGAUAACCUACCUAUAAGACUGGGAUAACUUCGGGAAACCGGAGCUAAUACCGGAUAAUAUAUUGAACCGCAUGGUUCAAUAGUGAAAGACGGUUUUGCUGUCACUUAUAGAUGGAUCCGCGCCGCAUUAGCUAGUUGGUAAGGUAACGGCUUACCAAGGCAACGAUGCGUAGCCGACCUGAGAGGGUGAUCGGCCACACUGGAACUGAGACACGGUCCGGACUCGUACGGGAGGCAGCAGUGGGGAAUCUUCCGCAACGGGCGAAAGCCUGACGGAGCAACGCCGCGUGAGUGAUGAAGGUCUUCGGAUCUUAAACCUCUGUUAUUAGGGAAGAACAAAUGUGUAAGUAACUAUGCACGUCUUGACGGUACCUAAUCAGAAAGCCACGGCUAACUACGUG